CACCGCGGUUAGACGAGAGACCCAAAUUGACAGACUCCGGCAAAAAGCGUGGUUAAUUAAAGAUUAAACUAAAGUCGAAAACCCUCAUAUUUCAGUCAAAUGCCUUGGGGAGGAGAAGCCCAGCCACGAAAGUGACUUUAAACUUAAAUGAUGCCACGAAAGCUAAGAAA
rnacentral:rRNA from 1 species